GACGAACGCUGGCGGCGCGCUUAACACAUGCAAGUCGAGCGAGAACCAGGCCUUCGGGCCUGGGGACAGCGGCGAACGGGUGAGUAACACGUGGGUAAUCUGCCCUCGAUACUGGGAUAGCCCGGGGAAACCCGGAUUAAUACCGGAUGGCCCUUCGAGUCUUUCGGACUUGAAGGAAAAGGUAGCUUCGGCCUCCGAUCGAGGAUGAGCCCGCGGCGGAUUAGCUUGUUGGUGAGGUAACGGCUCACCAAGGCGACGAUCCGUAGCUGGUCUGAGAGGACGAUCAG
rnacentral:rRNA from 1 species